GGACGUUCCAUUGGCGCCAUACAGUGUCGGUCACUUAGUCACAGAACGUCGCGUGGUACAAUAGGCCAGUGAAGGUUCUAUUCAUCCCGCCCCAAUCUGAGGUGACGGGAAAGGGCUGGGAAAUUUCCACUUCGGAUUAAAAUGAGGGCUGAAUUGACGACCGCAAAAAUUAAUAAAAACUGUAGUAGACCUAACCUUGCGCUUGCAGAGGCUUGCACCUCAAGGAUGCAAGAGACGCCGAGGUAACGCAGUUAACACCUGUCGCUCUCCGUCGAGAGCCGAGACUACGGCUGGAAAAUCGCUGCACCGGGAUUGGAGGAAAGAAGCCAUCAGUCUCAGCGAAGCCCCACCUUCCUGCCAUUGCCUGGUUGGAGGACCAAGGCGUCAGUCACUGGGUCUGUCGCCACCUCUGAGACAGGGGCAGACGGCGGGUCCGCGGGCUGGACAGCGCCAUCCCUCAGUACCGGGAACUGUCCCACGAAGGAGGUGGCAAGGCGGGUGACGACCAGCGCACAGAAUCCGACCGCCUGACUGAACGCUGCGUGCUGUGAAGCAAUUUUGAGUUCUAACACUGCCACUUUUGUGCUGGGUGACCUCGGCGCGAUUGAUGUUAUUCCUUGUAAAAUGGGAGUGAUAUUGGCAUCUUCCUUUUAUUGGGUGGGUAUGAAUAAAUCAUGUGAUAACACAGCAGCAAGAAAAGUGCCAAAGUUAUAGGAAAGACUCAUUUUUGUUAGCUACUGCCUCCUCUUCGGAUUUCAUGCGUCCUUCGCCCGGUGUAGGUUCUGCCAGCCAAACCAAUUCUAGCCAGAUCGCAAAGCUAACCAAAGGAGGUCUUCCCUUCUAAGGAUCUCUCCCCAUCUGUACAUGUCUGUGCUUCCUCCUCUAUCUCUUUUGUCAAUAAAGAGAAGUUUAGCCGGGCUUGGUGGCGUAGACCUGUAAUCCCAGCACUGGAGUGCCUGAGGCAGGAGGAUUGCCACGAGUUCAAGACCAGCCUGAACUACAUAGCGAGAGCCUGUCUCAAAAAAACAAAAUAAAAUACAAAAAAGUAAGUAAAUACAGAGAAGGUUUGAAAGUGUUCCCCUUGCAACUAAUCUCAUGAUCAGAGAUCACAAGAAAAGAAUUUGGCAAAUGAAUGCAAAUGUUCUUUGAUCCAGAGAAUGUCUCUAUAACAGGUUAACUAAAAGCAAAAGAUGUCAUUUUUCUCCUCUCUUACAAACUGUUUUGUUUAUUUUAAUUGUGCAGUAUAUAUACUGCACAAAAUAUAUUUAUGUAUUAUAUUAUAUAUAAUAUAUAAAGUAAAUAUAUAAUACUUUACUCCUUUAAACUGGUAUCUGAAACUUCUAUAAAGAAUAUAAUUUUUCUAAUUAUGAGAAAUGGAAAAAACGGAAACAAAGUCUUUGUAAAUAGGGAAGGGUGGAGGGGGUGAAGGGAGGGCUAGGAAUGGGGAAAAAAUAAGAACCAAGAUGCAUCAUGUAAAGGUACAAGUUCCCAAUGAGAAAUGUAAAUGUGUUGUAUACCUAAAAUGUACCAAUAAAAGAAUUUUUUUAAAAAAUAUAUAAUUUUUCUAAUUACCUUCAAAGUUGAUUUUGCCAAACAAUUAUUUUUGAAGAUAGUUAACAUUUCUUUGACUUGGUAAUUACUCAUUUUUACAUUUCAUGUGAAAGAAGGAUAGUAGUUUUUUAUAAACAGAAUACAUUAAAUAAGUGUUCUUUCUAGAUAAUAAA